UACAGAGGUGGCAAGCGUUGUUCGGAAUUACUGGGCGUAAAGGGCGCGUAGGCGGCCUUCUAAGUCAGACGUGAAAUCCCCCGGCUUAACCUGGGAACUGCGUCUGAUACUGGGAGGCUUGAGUAUGGGAGAGGGAUGUAGAAUUCCAGGUGUAGCGGUGAAAUGCGUAGAUAUCUGGAGGAACACCGGUGGCGAAGGCGGGUCUCUGGGACGGUAUUGACGCUGAGGCGCGAAAGCGUGGGGAGCAAACAGG
rnacentral:rRNA from 1 species